UGAAGGCUGAAAUUCGCCUUCAUGAAGCCGGAAUUGCUAGUAAUGGCAGGUCAGCAUACUGCCGUGAAUACGUUCCCGGGCCUUGUACACACCGCCCGUCACACCAUGAGAGUUGGGAAUACCCGAAGCCUGUGAGCUAACUUUUAGAGGCAGCAGUCGAAGGUAGAAUCAAUGAUUGGGGUGAAGUCGUAACAAGGUAUC
rnacentral:rRNA from 1 species